CAGCCGUAAACAAUGUGCGUUAGGUGUGUCGGUAACCACGCGUUACUGAUGCGCCGAAGAGAAAUCGUGAAACGCACCACCUGGGAAGUACGGUCGCAAGGCUGAAACUUAAAGGAAUUGGCGGGGGGGAGGCACCACAACAGGUGGAGCCUGCGGUUUAAUUGGAUUCAACGCCGGACAUCUCACCGGAUAAGACAGCUGAAUGAUUGUCAAUCUGAAGGUUUUACAUGACUAGCUGAGAGGUGGUGCAUGGCGUCAGUGACU
rnacentral:rRNA from 1 species